rnacentral:lncRNA from 1 species
UGAACAAGAAACAUGGCAGUACAUCAAAAGUCAUAAGAGAAAUAACAUUAAGCUUUAGUAAAAGCUCAUACAAUUAAAUUAAUAAUAAGCAUUUGACACUGAAUUAUCAUUCUCAGACUGUGCUUGGGCAUAACCAAGCAUUCCAAAACACUCACCGCCGACUCUUUAUAUAAAAAAUAUACUGUAGAACAGGAAGUCAGUGGUUGCGAAAAUAUUUACUAAAAAGUGUACAUGAAACCUUAUGUCCUUGAACCACAUUUCACUAGCUUAUCAAUGAACAUACAAAGUUCCAAAAACUUUCCUCCUGGUUAGGCCACAUAUCUUUUUCCCAAAUUUAUCAAAUUAUUCGACACUUUUUCGACCAAAAUCUUAUCAUCCAUCUUAAGUCAUGUACAUUAGCUUAUUCUAAAUAAUCCCUCAAACUUAAAAGAAAAGGCCACAUAGUAAGAGCAUCUCCAAUGGUGCUCUUAAAUCGCUCUUUAAAAUAUAUUAUAAUAUUUGGCUCCUAGUGAGUUAAGACAUUGAAAAAGAUUUCAACUCCAAUGCUCUUCUUUAUACUUGCUCCUUAUUAAUAUUUUAUUCAUAUAAAUGAGAGAGAAAAGUAAAAAGAGAGAAAUGUUGGAGGUAAAGUUGAAUAUUUUAUUCAUAUAAAUGAGAGAGAAAAGUAAAAAGAGAGAAAUGUUGGAGGUAAAGUUGGAGGGAAAUCAAUAUUAUAUUCAUGAAAAAAAGUUAAGAGCUCUUACAUGCUCUUUAAAAGAGAGGAGGGAUGAUGGGCUCUUAAAUUUUUAAAGAGCUUCUAGGAGCCCAUUGGAGCUCUAAUUUUUGCUUUGCUCUUUAAAUUUAAAGUUAAGAGCUCAUUUAGAGAGCCCCUUGGAGAUGCUCUGAUCACUUAAAAUCUUCCUCAACUUGCAAUUAGGUGUACAAACAGAUUUCAUUCACACAUAUUUCUAGUAGUUAAUAAAAAAAAAAAAUAUCAUAAAAUUAAUGAGUAUACC